AGUGAACGCUGGCGGUAGGCCUAACACAUGCAAGUCGAACGGCAGCACAGUAAGCGCUUGCUCUUACGGGUGGCGAGUGGCGGACGGGUGAGGAAUACAUCGGAAUCUACUUUUUCGUGGGGGAUAACGUAGGGAAACUUACGCUACUACCGCAUACGACCUACGGGUGAAAGCAGGGGAUAUUCGGACCUUGCGCGAUUGAAUGAGCCGAUGUCGGAUUAGCUAGUUGGCGGGGUAAAGGCCCACCAAGGCGACGAUCCGUAGCUGGUCUGAGAGGAUGAUCAGCCACACUGGAACUGAGACACGGUCCAGACUCCUACGGGAGGCAGCAGUGGGGAAUAUUGGACAAUGGGCGCAAGCCUGAUCCAGCCAUACCGCGUGGGUGAAGAAGGCCUUCGGGUUGUAAAGCCCUUUUGUUGGGAAAGAAAAGCAGCAGGUUAAUACCCCGCUGUUCUGACGGUACCCAAAGAAUAAGCACCGGCUAACUUCGUG
rnacentral:rRNA from 1 species